GAGGGCGACCGGCCACACUGGGACUGAGACACGGCCCAGACUCCUACGGGAGGCAGCAGUGGGGAAUAUUGCACAAUGGGCGAAAGCCUGAUGCAGCGACUCCGCGUGAGGGAUGACGGCCUUCGGGUUGUAAACCUCUUUCAGCAGGGAAGAAGCGAAAGUGACGGUACCUGCAGAAGAAGCGCCGGCUAACUACGUGCCAGCAUCCGCGGUAAUACGUAGGGGGCGAGCGUUGUCCGGAAUUAUUGGGCGUAAAGAGCUCGUAGGCGGCUUGUCACGUCGGUAGUGAAAGCCCGGGGCUUAACCCCGGGUCUGCAGUCUAUACGGGCAGGCUAGAGUUCGGUAGGGGAGAUCGGAAUUCCUGGUGUAGCGGUGAAAUGCGCAGAUAUCAGGAGGAACACCGGUGGCGAAUGCGGAUCUCUGGGCCGAUA
rnacentral:rRNA from 1 species